GAGCCUGGAGCCUUGUGUUUUAUUACAAAUCGUUCGUAUUCUCUCAAAAACUGGUCGCGAAGGGGAAAGGAGAGGGCCUCAAACGGUUCCUCUGCAUCGCGUUGCUUUCUAGGCCUGCAGUCUCCGCUAUAUCUCUGCAUUGGAAAAAUAUGAGCGAACCAUCUGUUCUAAAUACUGUAUACCAUACAGUGUAUAGCAUGACCCCUCGUGGCAGAGGUUAGGGGUCCGAAAAGGUGUUGAAGCUAGCUGGAAGGAACGAAACUUAGAAUAUCUGUCUGUUCCUGGUGUUGGUCUCCUAUUGUGGAGGAAAGCUAGUCCGUGGGUAGGUAGGGGUGGGCGGGGGUUCCUUACAGUUGUGUUGUCUUGCUUUUAGAACAAGCUUCCGUGAAGAAGGCAUUUCCAACCAUAAUCAGCAGACCUUCUUUGAGUUUUCCUAUUUCCCCCUCCUCUAAGGGUAAUCCCUAGAUUUCCGAGAAGGAAAACCAGUGGCCUCUUCUUAGCUCCGUCAAAAACAGUUGUUCCCUUGACGACUCUUUCCAACAUAAAACAAAAACGGGCACCUGAAGGGGUCGACGGUGAUUUUGAUAUAGAGCAACAAAAGACUCAGUGUAAACUAAAGAACUUAUCUUAAGGAAUAAAAACGAAGAUGUGGCAGAAGUUUAGUUGUACCCAAAGUCUUUACCCUUAUUAUUAUACAUUUCUGUUUGAUAUUUUGUCCCAAUGGACCACAUUUCAUGCUCUCUUAUCAUUUUGAGUUUUCACCAGUGGCACCUGAAUGAAAGUGGUGUGACUUGCAGUUCUAGUUUAAAAGUAAAAUAACUUCUGUCCAGGGCGGCACACCACUCCUGGAAUCCCACCAUGCAACAGGCGACUUGGACAGUUAAGAGUUCAAAAGCCAUCUUCUACCAGAGAGAGAGAGAGAGAGAGAGAGAGAGAGAGAGCCAAUGAAUAGGCUGCAGCCUUCCACACCCCCACCCCUACCACUCUCCUAGUCUAGCCUAGCAUGCAAACUAGGAGGAGACUUGGUGAUCAGAUCCAGCCCUAGGAAGAAAGAAACCAGAGUCUAAGGAUGAGCCAUGUUAAGCCGCUCUGUCAGCUCAGGGUUCCUACCUCUGGACAGUCAGUAAUACACUUCUGCCUCGUUUAAAUGACUAUAUUUGGGAGCCUCUGCAUUGUCAUAGUACGCUCUAACUCUGUGGUUCUCAAUCUUCCUAAUGGUGCCACUCUUUAAUACAGUUCCUUGAGUUAUGGUCACCCACCAAUCAUUAAAUUAUUUUGUUGCUACUUCAUAAAUGUAAUUUUGCUACUGUUAUGAAUUGUGAAUAUCUGAUUGGCAGAACAUCUAAUAUGCAACCCACAGGUUUCGAACUACCGCACUGAUUAGAGGGACAUUCACAGGAGAAAAACACCCAGACAACUAGAACUCAGAAAAGUGAAGACCCAAAGGAACUCCGGCAUCUACAGGGCACUUGAUGUCGUGUCCCUUAAAAUGUAAGAAGCGGCUAGGCAUGGUGGCGCACGCCUUUAAUCCCAGCACUCAGGAGGCAGAGGCAGGCAGAUUUCUGAGUUCGAGGCCAGCCUGGUCUACAAAGUGAGUUCCAGGACAGCCAGGGCUAUACAGAGAAACCCUGUCUGUCUCAAAAAAAAAAAAAAAAAAAAAAAAAGUAAGUACGUGAUUUUCUAGUUUUUCCUACAAUUUCUAUUUAUAUACAGUCUCUAUAUCCAUACCAACUUUUUUAUUCUUGUGAACGAAACUUAUUUUCUGCCUUUCUCAUUUGUCACUAUCCUUUAGUAUCAGUAAAUAUUUUAUUCAUCAU
rnacentral:lncRNA from 1 species